CCUACGGGGGGCUGCAGUGGGGAAUAUUGGACAAUGGGGGGAACCCUGAUCCAGCCAUGUCGCGUGUGUGAAGAAGGCCCUCGGGUUGUAAAGCACUUUCAGUGAGGAAGAACGCCUGGUGGUUAAUACCCAUCAGGAAAGACAUCACUCACAGAAGAAGCACCGGCUAACUCCGUGCCAGCAGCCGCGGUAAUACGGAGGGUGCGAGCGUUAAUCGGAAUUACUGGGCGUAAAGCGCGCGUAGGUGGCUUGAUAAGCCGGUUGUGAAAGCCCCGGGCUCAACCUGGGAACGGCAUCCGGAACUGUCAAGCUAGAGUGCAGGAGAGGAAGGUAGAAUUCCCGGUGUAGCGGUGAAAUGCGUAGAGAUCGGGAGGAAUACCAGUGGCGAAGGCGGCCUUCUGGACUGACACUGACACUGAGGUGCGAAAGCGUGGGUAGCAAACAGGAUUAGAUACCCGAGUAGUC
rnacentral:rRNA from 1 species